rnacentral:lncRNA from 1 species
UUUUAGUAGAAUCCUAUAAAGAUGCAUGCAUGCUUUCAAUCCCAUUUAGUUCACAUAAUCAAUCUUUUUCCAAUAGAUGUUUUGUUUUAUGAAUGAUCAAUCACUAAGCAUAGAUGUAAACAUGGAUUUUAAAAAUUCUCACCAAGCAAGUGUUUCACUCAAUAACUCAAGUGUUUAGGAGGUCACUCUACUCUCUACUGUUCACAUGUCACAUAAAACAAUAUUGUCAUUCAUCUAAAACAAUCAAAAUCUUCCAAGGCUUGUAAUGUGGCUGGGCUAUCAAGAAAAAUUGGUUUUUCUAGAAUACAAAUCCUUGAGUUAAGAGAGUUUUAAAUCAUUCAAAGUUCAAGAACCCUCUCUUUUUAACCAAUCUCACUCAUUCCCAACUUCUUCCCUUUUUUCCUUUUUACAUUGAGUUCUCUUUACAUGCUUUUUCUUUUCUUCUUUUCUUUUCUUUUUCAUGCAUUUUUCUUUUCAACUUUUGAACUCAGUGCUUUUUCCUUUUCUUUUGCCUUUCACUUUCCCUAUACAACCCCAAAAUUGAACCUUUUCAACACAUACAAUUAUUCUCAACC